rnacentral:rRNA from 1 species
UGCCAGCAGCCGCGGUAAUACGGAGGGAGCAAGCGUUGUUCGGAUUUACUGGGCGUAAAGGGCGCGCAGGCGGUUUGGUAAGUCAGAUGUGAAAUUCACCGGCUCAACCGGUCGAACUGCAUCCGAUACUGCCAGACUUGAGAUCAGUAGAGGAGAGUGGAAUUCCCAGUGUAGCGGUGGAAUGCGUAGAUAUUGGGAAGAACACCGGUGGCGAAGGCGGCUCUCUGGACUGAUUCUGACGCUGAGGCGCGAAAGCUAGGGGAGCGAACAGGAUUAGAUA